rnacentral:pre_miRNA from 1 species
AAAAAAGACAAACCUUAGUUUCCGUGUCCAAUAUUUGACCGUCCGUCUUAUUUAAAAAAAUUAUAAAAAAAAUUAAAAAGAUAAGUCACACAUAAAGUAUUCAUCAUGUUUUAUCAUCUAACAACAAUGAAAAUACUAAUUAUAAAAAAAUUUCAUAUAAGACGGACGGUCAAACGUUGGCACGCAAACCCGUAGUUUGCCUUUUU